GUGGGCGGAACAGGUACACUGCUCGAACAUUCUGAGUUCCACAGCCACCCUGUGAGGCAGGAAGGCCAAGGUGGGCACAGAUAGCCCCGUGUGCCCGUUGAAGCCGUUGUGGUUCAGAGAGGUUAGGUGGCUGGCCCAUGGUCACACAGCUUCUCCUGCAUUUCUAGAAGAUAAGAUGGGUCAUGGACCAGAAAGCAUGGAAGGGGGAUGGGAAGGAAGAAAGCCUGGCAAGUGAGAAAAUAUACAACCAGCAAGAAGAUAGUCAGGGACAAAGCAACACUCUUCUCUACCUCUGGCAGGAGAGGAAGCCAGAGAACGUGAGAGAGGAGUGCUUUCCUGGGAGUUCAAAGCAAGAAGGUCAGGAGAGGCCUCUGAGAAAUGGCUGCUUCUCAGUCAGGGGAGCAUCCAUGGACUUUACACUAGAAGCUCCCACCAGCUUCACGCCAUGCUACAUACUGGAGCAGCGCCUCACGGACCUCCCAGGUCAGUCCCUGUGAGGGAGCAGCCUCUGGCAGGUUGGGCUCCACAUGGAGGGAUUACCGGAGCAGUGACUGUCUCUUGCCCUUGAGAGGGGCUUACCAGCAAAGAAGCACCAGCAUAAAGCUGUGACCCAGGAGAAAUCAAAGUACAAAUGAUGGGGGUUUGUCAGGAUGAAGACAGAAUCAAGUCCUGGCCUCCCCUACCUGAGGCAUUGCAUCCUCCCACGGCUAUACUGGGGAAUCGGCCUCUUAGGAUCUUCUCAGCUGCUGCACAGCAGGCACUUGCCAGUUAGGCUUAUGACACACAUGAUGCUCCACUGCACAGGAAGGUGCUCCCAGUGGCCCAACCAGCCUCCUGUCUCAGUGUCUCCAUCCUGUUCAAUUUGGAUUCUGCUUCCAGUGAUUUCACUCCAGUAUGGGGUUCUCUCUCGCUAUGGAGCUUCAGCUGCUUGGGCCCUAGAGUUCCCAGGUCCCAGACCUGUGCCUGAGCUUCCUGGAUCUCUCCCACUUGCACCUAUAACUUGGGGCCCACAAAUAUCCUUUCUAAUUUUGGCUGACAUUCUAAGAAAGCUCUGCCAAGCUUCCUUUCCUAGAGUCCUCUCCUUCUAGGGGUGAAAAUAUGUUACAGAUUUGUGGAUUUGUGGAUUCCUGGCUCUCAGACUUCCAAUUUCCCUUUGCCUUCAUCUUCAUCUCAUGUCACAAAGCUGACAUCAUGUAGAUGUUAUUGGUAUCAGCAUUUGGCUCCACCUGUUCACAUUUUGUGGCUCAUGGAAUCAUCCAAUUAUGGAUUUUUGUUUUGCUUUACUAUCCUGUUUUUCCUUUGAAUGAAGAGAUUCUGGAAACUUUUUUAAAGUUCCUUUUUCCCCUCUGUUGCCAUCUUGUCUCCUUGGUUCUCAAGAAAUGUUCAGGGGGCAGAUGAAACUAGAUUGGUGUUGACUGGAGGUGAGGGAAAAAUAUCCAGGGUUAAGCAAUUUGGUAAAUGGGAUGUAACAGUAGAAAAUGUGCUGUUUUUUUUUUAAAGGAUGGAUGGUGGUAUAAAGUGGGGAAAUGGAGAAGCAUAGUUUUGGACAAGGCAAAUUUGAGUCUUCUAAGUGAUAAGUGUAGGAGACAGGUGGAAAGUCAAGGGCUAAAUACUGCAGCCUGGGCUGGAGACACAGAUCUGAAGUCGUCAAUAUUUUAGCAUUACCUUUUCAUCUCCUUGACUCCAGAUCCAAACCUUUCCCCACUGGCUUUUUCUAUUUUCUACAUGUGGAAAACUCAGGUUGAUAAAACUUCUCUGCUUAGACAUAUGCUAACCGGGCAUUCAAGAAUCAAGAAUCUUCAGGGUUAGAUUUCUUGAAAAAGUCUCAUGAAGAAGCAUGAUGUAUCUUUGCAUAGAGUCUGUAUCAUUAGACUCCUUAACAGACUUGCAUAACUGAGGUGUGUCUAUGUUCUUAAAUGUAUGCCUGUUACUGUAAAAAUGCAACAGGGCUCCAGUUGUCAGCUUUUCUCCUCAUCAGGGAAGGAAUCAAUUAACUUACCUAGGGAGCUGUUAUAUUUGUUAAGAUAAUUACUGCUGGGCUAUGCAGGAAUAAACAAUAAACCCCCAAAUCUCAAUGGCUUAGCACAACAAAAGUUUUUUUUUUUUUCCCCACAAAAAGCCAGACACAAAUUGUGAAGGGCCUCUCUUUAACUCAACUUAGCAAUACAAGACCUCCCACCUAUGAUACUUCUAUGUCGAUGCACCUUCUGAGGCAAAGGAACAGAGUCACCAGAGGUUUGCUUGGGAAGUUUUAAGAGCUAGACCAGGUUGUUGUGUGUAUCAAUUCUGCCCACAUACAACUGGCCAGAACCAAGUUGCAUGGUCCCAACCUAAAAGCACGGAAGUCUGGGAAAUGCAGUCUUCUAACUUACCAGGAAGAGAAAAGGAAAUGGUGAUCUGGUUGGUGAGCACACAGCAUUAUCUCUGCUACAGGCAUUAUCCCAAGUCUAUUUCCCUACUUCUCUCUUCAACUAGGAAUCCGACAAGCACUUAGAGAUCAAACACAAUCAUGGUGGCUACUGGAAUAACUCAAUAAAAUGGGAAAAGAGAGGCUAAUAAAACAGACUGGCAACAUUCAUGAACCCUUCCACCAGUUUGGUGAUGCCUUCACAAGUGGAAAAGAAAACUUAAGUUGAUGUUUGUUGAAAAUCUACCUUGUACUCAAGACCUUCACAGACAUGAUCUCAUCAUUUAUAUAACCAUCUCAGUAAGUGCAGCACGGACUAUGGAAAGAAGCUCCCCUAGAAAUGUGCUUUCAGGUCUACAAAGAGAGCCAUCCAUUUGAACAGAAGGGCAGUACCUCUGCACAUCAUCAAAGCUGAUGCCAGCAGGCGGGCCUGGGCUAAUACUUCUCAACUAUAACAUGAAAACAAGCUCCUGCCUCUUUUCCACCAUCCCAGCCCCUCUAGACCAGGUGAACCAGUCAGAUUUCCUAGAGCCCCAAAUACUGCAGCCACCAUCACAAAUAUAGACUCUUAUUUUCAGGGCCUGGUACAUGGACACAACAACGAGGGGCAGAAGGAGCCAACAUCUCAUCACUCCCAGACUCCUUGCUGUCCCAACGCCAGGCCAAGAAGAUACGUGAAAACCACCAGACCCAACAGCACAUGCAGCAUUUGGCUUUUGGAUCCAAGUAGCCAGAACAGGGGCUUGGUGGCCCUCCUGGGGCCCACAACCCACAGCCCUUUGUUUCUUUAACAUUUUCUUUUCAUACAGACAACCACACACAGACACACAAACACACAUACACAACACAACUUUUGUAAGCAAAGCCUUCGAUUGAGGCUAAAACAUAACUUAUAUGGCCCGGCAGAAAAUAGCUGAGUUAAGCUCUUUCUUUUCUCCUUUUAUAUUGGUAAAGAUUCUCAAAAGAUUAAAAGUAGGUUAGGAGAAUAAUACAACAGCUGUGUUUCCAGUGUGUACCUGACAACGGCUUUUGUAGAAGUGAAUAAUUACAUGAAAAUCACUUCCUUCCCACCUCUUUCUCAGCCCCCUCUGGGUUGCUAGGCGCCCUCUCUCCUUCUUUCGGCUAAUGCCACAUACAGAAGCUGAUGAAUACAGUAUGGCCAUUAUGAGGGAAGGGAGUCGGGAGGGAGAAGGAUUCAAAUGCUCCCUCCCUGG